AUUAAUUUUGAGGAUCUACUUAUAUAGUAUUGAAAGAUAAGGAUUUAAUGUGGUUUUAUAUGAAGGUUGGAGGACUUGUUUUGCAAUUAUGAGUUAGUGUCACUAAAUAUUAAAUAAAUAGCCAUUUUUUUCAUUCGGAGAUAGAUACAAAAACGAAAAAGGGGCAGAGAAGUUGAGAGAAGGAGAGAAGAGCUGAGAACGAGAUAGAGAAGGAAAGAAGAGAGAGAAAAGGGGGAAGAAAAAAGGGGAAAAAAGGUGGAAAAAGAAAAGGAAAAAGAUAUUAUUGAAGAAGAUGAUAUAUGGAUUCAAAUACAAAGUUCAUCCUUUCUUCUAUUCUAUUCCAAGAGGUACGGACAUGGAAGCUUGGAAAUGCUCAUCAAUUUAAUCAGAUGUCUAUCCAUAUAUCUACGAGUGGAAAAAUGUAAAUUUUUUAAAGUAUUUAUAAAUCAAGUACAUUAGUAAAGUAUGUGCAAUUAUUUGUUCGAUUCUAUGAUUUUUACAGAAAUCUCUUUUAUUAUAGUACAUGUGGAAUUUCAAAGAUUAUUUAUGGCA